UACGGAGGGUGCAAGCAUUAAUCGGAUUUAUUGGGCGUAAAGGGCGCGUAGGCGGAUUUGUAAGUCAGGUGUGAAAUUCCGAAGCUCAACUUCGGAGCUGCACUUGAAACUGUGAAUCUAGAGGGAUGGCGGAGAAAAUGGAAUUCCACGUGUAGCGGUGAAAUGCGUAGAUAUGUGGAAGAACACCUGUGGCGAAAGCGGUUUUCUAGCUUUUACCUGACGCUGAG
rnacentral:rRNA from 1 species